rnacentral:rRNA from 1 species
GACGUAGGAGGCGAGCGUUAUCCGGAUUCACUGGGCGUAAAGCGCAUGUAGGCGGUUGCACAAGUCCGUUGUUAAAGCCCCUGGCUCAACUGGGGGAGGUCAAUGGAGACUGUGCGACUUGAGGGCAAUAGAGGCACGUGGAACUCCCGGUGUAGCGGUGGAAUGCGUAGAGAUCGGGAAGAACACCAGUGGCGAAGGCGGUUCUCUGGGCAUGAUCUGACGCUGAGGAGCGAAAGUGUGGGGAGCGAACAGG